UUGCACCGAAAUGUGUUGAUAUGAAUAAAAAUUUCAUCAUUGUUAGACCCACUAUAAGUUUAACAAGUUCGUUGCUGUCUCAGUAAAUUUGAACGGGCGGCAAAUCGACUCAGUGCGUAUUUGUUCGAUAAAUACAUUGCUUAUCACUGUAGCACACUUACUCACUGUCAAGUACUUGUGCACUCGCUUGGCUGUCAGUAAUGAAUGAACUGAACUAAUGACUGAUAAACGCGUCUGGUGGGGAGAAUUGUUAAUCGCAAAAUAUUGUGUUCGUUAUUACUAAUAUCCAAAUGAUAAAGGUUUUACAAGCGGCUCUGGUUUGUUGUAAUACAAAAAUAAAAUAAAUAAAACAAGUUAAAAUAAUAAAUUUAUUGUUUUGUUUACCCAUCGAAGUCACGGAAUAAAUAUAGAGUAAAUGUUUUCUUAGAAUAUAGAAACAAGUAAAAAAAACAUGAAGUUCGACCGGGCCCAACUUCUAAUAUCCUCCAUCAUUGGGUAAAGAAAACAUUUUUAGGCAAAAGUAUCUGGAUUCAAACGUGUUCCACUUUAAACUACAAACUCCAGUGAGAUCAGUAGGAGAAUAGUUGUAGCCGUUUAAGGGGGCCAUACUAAAACGGGAGCCUAUAUAGACAAUUCUAUACUACAACGAUUGUAAUCUAUUGCGAGACUUACAGCCUGUUCCACGAUCUCGAAAGAAAAUUUGUGCGAACGAAGGCUACUCACUCACUUUCGCAUAAGAAUGCGUUCCACUAACUUUCGUUCUUUCUUUCGCAUAGCCUUACGUGAUUCAGUGUUGCAAAAUAUUUUUUGGCAAAAUUAAUCGCGAAAUAAGGCAAAAAAAAGCGCCAAAUGUCUAAUAUAAACGCGAAAAAGCAGCAGUGGCUCUGUCUCAACUGACAGUUCAGUUGUAAACAAACAAAUUGUAAAUAAACAAACAAAAUAAAAUUUCUAGUGAUUGUGUUCAGAUUAUUUGUGUUCUUAAAAAAGAAAAAAAUGAAUAUUUCUGUAGCCCUAUUUUUUAUGGAUGAUGAGGAGGAGGUUCAAAUUGUGCCACGGAGGCAUUUAAGAGAUGCUUCGAAUUUAUUUGAAGUACCUAACAACCAGUUUGUGUCUUCCAAUGGUCUUCAUGGGAUUGCCUGCUGCUUCCAAAAAUUGGCACUCCUCUGGCGAACUUAGGAUUCUCCCCCAUAUACUCAACUAUUGCCCGCAGCUGUGUAGUUUUUUCGUGCUGGAAUUGAGAAAAUAAAAAAAAUAU